AGAUUGAACGCUGGCGGCAGGCCUAACACAUGCAAGUCGAGCGGCAGCACGGGUACUUGUACCUGGUGGCGAGCGGCGGACGGGUGAGUAAUGCCUAGGAAUCUGCCUGGUAGUGGGGGAUAACGCUCGGAAACGGACGCUAAUACCGCAUACGUCCUACGGGAGAAAGCAGGGGACCUUCGGGCCUUGCGCUAUCAGAUGAGCCUAGGUCGGAUUAGCUAGUUGGUGAGGUAAUGGCUCACCAAGGCGACGAUCCGUAACUGGUCUGAGAGGAUGAUCAGUCACACUGGAACUGAGACACGGUCCAGACUCCGUAGGGAGCAG
rnacentral:rRNA from 1 species